rnacentral:rRNA from 1 species
UACGAAGGGGGCUAGCGUUGCUCGGAAUUACUGGGCGUAAAGCGCACGUAGGCGGCUUUCUAAGUCGGGGGUGAAAUCCUGGAGCUCAACUCCAGAACUGCCUUCGAUACUGGAGAGCUCGAGUCCGGGAGAGGUGAGUGGAACUGCGAGUGUAGAGGUGAAAUUCGUAGAUAUUCGCAAGAACACCAGUGGCGAAGGCGGGUCACUGGCCCGGUACUGACGCUGAGGUGCGAAAGCGUGGGGAGCAAACAGG